rnacentral:rRNA from 1 species
AACCACAGCCAUAUCACCCUGUAGCCCAAGACUGGUUGCCCACUGAAGCUAAGCAGGGUUGAGCCUGGUCAGUACCUGGAUGGGAGACCUCCUGGGAAAACUAGGUUGCUGUUGGAA